GGACGAACGCUGGCGGCGUGCUUAACACAUGCAAGUCGAACGAUGAACCGGUUUCGGCCGGGGAUUAGUGGCGAACGGGUGAGUAACACGUGGGCAAUCUGCCCUGCACUCUGGGACAAGCCCUGGAAACGGGGUCUAAUACCGGAUACGACGCGUUCCCGCAUGGGAUACGCGUGGAAAGCUCCGGCGGUGCAGGAUGAGCCCGCGGCCUAUCAGCUUGUUGGUGGGGUGAUGGCCUACCAAGGCGACGACGGGUAGCCGGCCUGAGAGGGCGACCGGCCACACUGGGACUGAGACACGGCCCAGACUCCUACGGGAGGCAGCAGUGGGGAAUAUUGCACAAUGGGCGCAAGCCUGAUGCAGCGACGCCGCGUGAGGGAUGACGGCCUUCGGGUUGUAAACCUCUUUCAGCAGGGAAGAAGCGAAAGUGACGGUACCUGCAGAAGAAGCGCCGGCUAACUACGUGCCAGCAGCCGCGGUAAUACGUAGGGCGCAAGCGUUGUCCGGAAUUAUUGGGCGUAAAGAGCUCGUAGGCGGCUUGUCGCGUCGGAUGUGAAAGCCCGGGGCUUAACCCCGGGUCUGCAUUCGAUACGGGCAGGCUAGAGUUCGGUAGGGGAGAUCGGAAUUCCUGGUGUAGCGGUGAAAUGCGCAGAUAUCAGGAGGAACACCG
rnacentral:rRNA from 1 species